CUUGUAUCUAGAGAACAGCAGCUGGCAACAAGAUGGACGAGGAUACCAGUGGAGGAUCCAACAUCGAACUCCGGCAGCUUCAGGAGCGGCUGGAGCAGCUCCGGGCGGAAAAUGAGAGACUUUCCCGCGCACAAAAUGGAGUGCUCAGCUGACUGUGGCUGUGGACGAGAGUAGGGCUCACCAACACGGGUCAACUUAAAUACCGAUACAGCCUCGGUAGCAGUUCAGCCACAUGGAACACCAGGAAAGCAGGUCUCCUUAGUUACUGUAGUAGUGAUUCACAUAAUGUUUGAGCUUAAUGCUUUGUAGUGUGAA